rnacentral:rRNA from 1 species
GGUUGAUCCUGCCAGUAGUCAUAUGCUUGUCCUAAAGAUUAAGCCAUGCAUGUCCAAGUAUAAACACGUUGUACUGUGAAACUGCGAAUGGCUCAUUAUAUCAGUUAUAAUUUAUUUGAUAGUCUCUUACUACUUGGAUAACCGUGGUAAUUCUAGAGCUAAUACAUGCGGAAAGCCCGACUUUGCGGAAGGGCUGUAUUUAUUAGAUUAAAAACCAACACGCUUGGUGAUUCAUGAUAACUGUGCGGAUCGCAUGGCCUUGCGCCGGCGACGUUUCAUUCAAAUUUCUGCC